rnacentral:rRNA from 1 species
GGAGCAACACCGCGUGAGUGAAGAAGGGUUUCGGCUCGUAAAGCUCUGUUGUUGGAGAAGAACGUGCGUGAGAGUAACUGUUCACGCAGUGACGGUAUCCAACCAGAAAGUCACGGCUAACUACGGGCCAGCAGCCGCGGUAAUACGUAGGUGGCAAGCGUUAUCCGGAUUUAUUGGGCGUAAAGCGAGCGCAGGCGGUUGUUUAGGUCUGAUGUGAAAGCCUUCGGCUUAACCGAAGAAGUGCAUCGGAAACCGGGCGACUUGAGUGCAGAAGAGGACAGUGGAACUCCAUGUGUAGCGGUGGAAUGCGUAGAUAUAUGGAAGAACACCAGUGGCGAAGGCGGCUGUCUGGUCUGCAACUGACGCUGAGGCUCGAAAGCAUGGGUAGCGAACAGGAUUAGAUACCCUGGUAGUCCAUGCCGUAAACGAUGAGUGCUAGGUGUUGGAGGGUUUCCGCCCUUCAGUGCCGGAGCUAACGCAUUAAGCACUCCGCCUGGGGAGUACGACCGCAAGGUUGAAACUCAAAGGAAUUGACGGGGGCCCGCACAAGCGGUGGAGCAUGUGGUUUAAUUCGAAGCUACGCGAGGAACCUUACCAGGUCUUGACAUCUUGCGCUAACCUAAGAGAUGAGGCGUUCCCUUCGGGGACGCAAUGACAGGUGGUGCAUGGUCGUCGUCAGCUCG